rnacentral:rRNA from 1 species
GAUGAACGCUGGCGGCGUGCCUAAUACAUGCAAGUCGAGCGAACGGACGAGAAGCUUGCUUCUCUGAUGAUAGCGGCGGACGGGUGAGUAACACGUGGAUAACCUACCUAUAAGACUGGGAUAACUUCGGGAAACCGGAGCUAAUACCGGAUAAUAUUUUGAACCGCAUGGUUCAAAAGUGAAAGACGGUCUUGCUGUCACUUAUAGAUGGAUCCGCGCUGCAUUAGCUAGUUGGUAAGGUAACGGCUUACCAAGGCAACGAUGCAUAGCCGACCUGAGAGGGUGAUCGGCCACACUGGAACUGAGACACGGUCCAGACUCCUACGGGAGGCAGCAGUAGGGAAUCUUCCGCAAUGGGCGAAAGCCUGACGGAGCAACGCCGCGUGAGUGAUGAAGGUCUUCGGAUCGUAAAACUCUGUUAUUAGGGAAGAACAUAUGUGUAAGUAACUGUGCACAUCUUGACGGUACCUAAUCAGAAAGCCACGGCUAACUACGUG